rnacentral:tRNA from 2 species
UGCGGGGUAGAGCAGCCCGGUAGCUCGUCAGGCUCAUAACCUGAAGGUCAUUGGUUCAAAUCCAAUCCCCGCUACCA